UGGGGAAUUUUGCACAAUGGGGGAAACCCUGAUGCAGCGACGCCGCGUGAUUUAGAAGGCCUUCGGGUUGUAAAAAUCUUUUCUAUGGGAAGAAAAUGACAGUACCAUAGGAAUAAGGACCGGCUAAAUACGUGCCAGCAGCCGCGGUAAUACGUAUGGGGCGAGCGUUGUCCGGAAUUAUUGGGCGUAAAGGGUACGUAGGCGGUCUAUUAAGUCAGGUGUGAAAGCGUGAGGCUUAACCUCAUUAAGCACUUGAAACUGAUAGACUUGAGUGAAGGAGAGGAAAGUGGAAUUCCUAGUGUAGCGGUGAAAUGCGUAGAUAUUAGGAGGAAUACCGGUGGCGAAGGCGACUUUCUGGACUUUUACUGACGCUCAGGUACGAAAGCGUGGGGAGCAAACAGG
rnacentral:rRNA from 1 species